rnacentral:rRNA from 1 species
GUGUGCCUACGGGGCGCAGCAGUAGGGAAUCUUCCACAAUGGGCGAAAGCCUGAUGGAGCAACGCCGCGUGGGUGAAGAAGGUCUUCGGAUCGUAAAACCCUGUUGUUAGAGAAGAAAGUGCGUGAGAGUAACUGUUCACGUUUCGACGGUAUCUAACCAGAAAGCCACGGCUAACUACGUGCCAGCAGCCGCGGUAAUACGGAGGAUGCGAGCGUUAUCCGGAUUUAUUGGGCGUAAAGGGAACGCAGGCGGUCUUUUAAGUCUGAUGUGAAAGCCUUCGGCUUAACCGGAGUAGUGCAUUGGA